UGAGAAAGUAUGAUCUAUGAGUCUCCCUCGGGGUUUCACAGAGCAGUCUACAGGUAAAGAUAAGAACGUAUAUUUUUUCGCUGGAUGAUUGUUCAACUUACAAUAUUUCUUCCUACUGUUUGGGAAGAGUGGCUAGAAAGCUGCAUGGAGGAGAAGGACCUGGGGGUCUUGAUUGACAGUUGUCUGAACAUGGGCCAGCAGUGUGCCCAGGUGGCCAAGAAGGCCAACGGCAUCUUGGCUUGUAUCAGAAACGGCGUGACCAGCAGGUCCAGGGAGGUGAUUCUCCCUCUGUACUUGGCACCCAUGAGACCACAUCUUGCACACUGCGUUCAGUUCUGGGCCCCUCGCCACAAGAAGGAUGUUGAGGCUCUGGAGCGUGUCCAGAGAAGAGCAACAA